GGAAAUAAACAAUAAGGCUAUGAAUGUACCUUUGUGAAUUGAAUAAUUUUGCUAAGAUAAACUGAUUUUGAUGUGUUUCAUGCUUCAUUUUCUGAUCUAGCACUAUGAUUCUAAGGAGUAUAAGAGAAUAGUAUGAUCAUAUAUUUUUGGAAAAAAUGGAAUAUAAUUGUUUGUACCUAGAUGUGAUUCCUAUGUUAAGU
rnacentral:lncRNA from 1 species